GACGAACGCUGGCGGCGGGCUUAACACAUGCAAGUCGAACGGAAAGGCCCUGCUUUUGUGGGGUGCUCGAGUGGCGAACGGGUGAGUAACACGUGAGUAACCUGCCCUUGACUUUGGGAUAACUUCAGGAAACUGGGGCUAAUACCGGAUAGGAGCUCCUGCUGCAUGGUGGGGGUUGGAAAGUUUCGGCGGUUGGGGAUGGACUCGCGGCUUAUCAGCUUGUUGGUGGGGGAGUGGCUUACCAAGGCUUUGACGGGUAGCCGGCCUGAGAGGGUGACCGGCCACAUUGGGACUGAGAUACGGCCCAGACUCCUACGGGAGGCAGCAGUGGGGAAUAUUGCACAAUGGGCGGAAGCCUGAUGCAGCAACGCCGCGUGCGGGAUGACGGCCUUCGGGUUGUAAACCGCUUUCGCCUGUGACGAAGCGUGAGUGACGGUAAUGGGUAAAGAAGCACCGGCUAACUACGUG
rnacentral:rRNA from 1 species